rnacentral:rRNA from 1 species
GACGAACGCUGGCGGCGUGCCUAAUACAUGCAAGUUGAGCGCUGAAGGUUGGUACUUGUACCAACUGGAUGAGCAGCGAACGGGUGAGUAACGCGUGGGGAAUCUGCCUUUGAGCGGGGGACAACAUUUGGAAACGAAUGCUAAUACCGCAUAAAAACUUUAAACACAAGUUUUAAGUUUGAAAGAUGCAAUUGCAUCACUCAAAGAUGAUCCCGCGUUGUAUUAGCUAGUUGGUGAGGUAAAGGCUCACCAAGGCGAUGAUACAUAGCCGACCUGAGAGGGUGAUCGGCCACAUUGGGACUGAGACACGGCCCAAACGCCUACGGGAGGCAGCAGUAGGGAAUCUUCGGCAAUGGACGAAAGGCUGACCGAGCAACGCCGCGUGAGUGAAGAAGGGUUUCGGAUCGUAAAACUCGGUUGGUAGAGAAGAACGUUGGUGAGAGUGGAAAGCUCAUCAAGUGACGGUAACUACCCAGAAAGGGACGGCUAACUACGUG